rnacentral:lncRNA from 1 species
UCAGUAGGCCCCUAUUACAUUGCUCAGAAGGUUUGAAGCACAGGAUUCGGUAUAGGCGAAAAUAGUCCAAAUCUGUUGGAUUUUUUUCAAUCUGCAAAGAACGACUCGAAGUGUCUCCUGGUGUGUGCUAAUUCAGGUUCAACACUGAAUGAUAUGGUUAUCUAAGUCAAGGGCUCAAGGCACGCCUGCUUUUGUCUGCCACUUAUUCGGGCACAAGAUGGCUUACUUCCUGACAUGGGCAACGUUGUCCUUUCUGUGCCUGUGUGUGGCUGCUCAAGGUGAGGUGGUCCCAACAAGCGGAGUGGGGCCCUCACAAGAAGAAUCAGAUUCCUGUAAGUUUUGACAAUGACA